rnacentral:ncRNA from 1 species
GCUAUGUAACAUUGUGGGCUAUAGACGUGCCACAUAUACCUUUACAAAGGGAUGCAAAAGUGUGAACUUGAGCUAAUCCCUAAAACAGGAUAGAAUAUUAAUUGUAGUCUGAAACUCGACUACAUGAAAAAGGAAUUACUAGUAAUCGUGUGUAAUCAUAGCACGGUGAAU